AAAAACUACCCUAUUACAGAACCAAAAAUUUAGAUGUUUAACCAAUUACAGAUUUUCUAUGCGAAAAUUUGCACACUUUGGAUAUCACCAUAUCAAAAGUCCACAAAAAAAAGUUUUCUGAUCCUCAAAAAAAAUGGUUUUCACCAAAAAAAAUAAAUGAAUCGUCAAUAUGAAUUUUUGUCAGAUCUCAACUCCUGUAGGUGUAACAUGUUGACAUUUUUAAUUGAGAGAACCUUGACAGUUUUGUAUGAAUUUUUACCUUUUUAUGGAGAGUAUAUAAUAUAUUUUGAUAUUGAUGUCAUUGAUGUAAUGGUUUAUAUUUUUUAAAAUGAA
rnacentral:lncRNA from 1 species